UCGUGGAAAAAGACCCUUGCAUCCCUCAGUGAUCACAACUCCAGGAAAAGAGAGACAAAAUAGAGACAUCCCUGAGAGGGUUGGCAAUGCAACUUUUGAUCGAGGUUAUUCGUCAUUAAGACGUUAUCAGUUGGAAUCUUCCAAAGGUGCCCAAGCUAUGAUUCAGCAUGGAGAGACCUCUACAGUUCCAGAUCAAGCUGUUGUAGCAGUUAACUUGGGUGAACAAGGAUCUAGUUCUAUUUCAGAAGCAGUUGUCCAUCCUGAUC